UACGGGGGGGGCAAGCGUUGUUCGGAAUUACUGGGCGUAAAGGGCUUGUAGGCGGCCAACUAAGUCGGACGUGAAAUCCCUCGGCUCAACCGGGGAACUGCGUCCGAUACUGGAUGGCUUGAAUCCGGGAGAGGGAUGCGGAAUUCCAGGUGUAGCGGUGAAAUGCGUAGAUAUCUGGAGGAACACCGGUGGCGAAGGCGGCAUCCUGGACCGGCAUUGACGCUGAGGAGCGAA
rnacentral:rRNA from 1 species